UUCUCUCUCUAGCUUUUUUGUUCUGCCUUUUCUCCUCUCUUUUCCCUAGUUGAUUCAUCUCGUUCUCACCGAUUUCCUUUUUUGAUUCUUGUUUGUCUCUUCUUCCUUCGGCUAAUUCAUGUUUUUUUUUCUAUGGCUGACCCCUCCAUUCUCUUGGAGCAAAUCUUCGUUAUAAGCCAUUUUAGGGCUUCUUUAUCUGAUUUGGGGUCUUCGGGCUCAGCUCCCUCAUCUCUUUCUCCGAUCGUUGAUAUGGUUGAAUCUGUUGCCUUGGUUGCUAAUGUUAUGAUCAACUCGGAUGAUUCUGAUGUUGAAGGCAUUCAAAGUUUGGAUGUUCGAAGUCCUUUGGUUGAUUCCCAAAUCCGAGAUAUUUUUAAAGCUGCUAAUCAGCUUUCUCAGCAAGACAAAAUUGAUGUGGUUAAAAAAAACAAGUUCUUCUAGACUUUAAUUUUGCUCAUGGUCUUUCUGUUAAGGAUGGUAAUGACCGUCAAUUCUGGCUUUGUUGCUAGAAAAGUGAACGCACUCGAUCUGUUUGAUAAAAGUUUUUUUUAUAGCCAUUAAUGCUCUUAAAUGUUCCUCUGAUUUUGUCAAGGGUUCUUAAUGUUUGUUUAUGCUAUAUAGGCCAAUUAUUUGAUAUAAUUGUUUUAACAUUUUGAUAUUAUAUUUGAUUGAAUAAAUGAAUGAUUUUAUUAUGUUUUAUUUAUUGCAUUAUAUAAAUGUUAACAUAAUAAAAUUCUUUAGAAUAGCGAUACAAAUUAAUUAUAUAGUUUUAAGUGUGUGACUUGAACAUGAG
rnacentral:lncRNA from 1 species